AUUGAACGCUGGCGGCAGGCCUAACACAUGCAAGUCGAGCGAACGGCGGACGGGUGAGUAAUGUAUGGGGACUGCCCGAUAGAGGGGGAUAACUACUGGAAAAGGUGGCUAAUACCGCAUACUAUCCGAUAACCCAUAUGGGAUUAUCUAGUAGGUGGGGUAAAGGCUCACCUAGGCGACGAUAUCUAUCUGGUCUGAGAGGAUGAUCAGCCAAACUGGGACUGAGACACGGCCCAGACUCCUACGGAGGCAGCAGUGGGGAAUAUUGCACAAUGGGGGAAAGCCUGAUGAAGCCAUGCCGCGUGUAUGAAGAAGGCCUUAGGGUUGUAAAGUACUUUCAGCGGGGAGGCGUUACCCGCAGAAGAAGCACCGGCUAACUCCGUGCCAGCAGCCGCGGUAAUAC
rnacentral:rRNA from 1 species